rnacentral:SRP_RNA from 1 species
GCCAGGCACGGUGUCGCAUGCCUGUAAUCCCAGCACUAUAGGAGGCCGAGGCGGGUGGAUCACCUGAGGUCAGGAGUUCAAGACCAGCCUGGCCAACAUGGUGAAACCCCGUCUCUA